AUACGGAGGGUGCGAGCGUUAAUCGGAAUUACUGGGCGUAAAGCGCGCGUAGGCGGCUUUGUAAGUCGGAUGUGAAAGCCCUGGGCUCAACCUGGGAACUGCAUUCGAAACUGGCAGGCUAGAGUAUAGUAGAGGCAAGUGGAAUUCCGGGUGUAGCGGUGAAAUGCGUAGAUAUCCGGAGGAACAUCAGUGGCGAAGGCGACUUGCUGGACUAAUACUGACGCUGAGGAGCGAAAGCGUGGGGAGCAAACGGGAUUAGAAACCCCAGUAGUCC
rnacentral:rRNA from 1 species